rnacentral:rRNA from 1 species
CAACAGGGAUUGCCCUAGUAACGGCGAGUGAAGCGGCAUCAGCUCAAAUUUGAAAUCUGGCUCUUUCAGGGUCCGAGUUGUAAUUUGCAGAGGGCGCUUUGGCGUUGGCAGCGGUCCAAGUUCCUUGGAACAGGACGUCACAGAGGGUGAGAAUCCCGUACGUGGUCGCUGGCCUUCGCCGUGUAAAGCCCCUUCGACGAGUCGAGUUGUUUGGGAAUGCAGCUCUAAAUGGGAGGUAAAUUUCUUCUAAAGCUAAAUACUGGCCAGAGACCGAUAGCGCACAAGUAGAGUGAUCGAAAGAUGAAAAGCACUUUGGAAAGAGAGUCAAAUAGCACGUGAAAUUGUUGAAAGGGAAGCGCUUGCAGCCAGACUUGCCUGUAGUUGCUCAUCCGGGCUUUUGCCCGGUGCACUCUUCUGCGGGCAGGCCAGCAUCAGUUUGGGCGGUUGGAUAAAGGCCUCUGUCACGUACCUCCUUUCGGGGAGGCCUUAUAGGGGAGGCGUCAUGCAACCAGCCUGAACUGAGGUCCGCGCAUCUGCUAGGAUGCUGGCGUAAUGGCUGUAAGCGGCCCGUCUUGAAACACGGACCAAGGAGUCUAACAUCUAUGCGAGUGUUUGGGUGUCAAGCCCGAGCGCGUAAUGAAAGUGAACGGAGGUGGGAUCCCUUUAGGGUGCACCAUCGACCGAUCCUGAUGUCUUCGGAUGGAUUUGAGUAAGAGCAUGGCUGUUGGGACCCGAAAGAUGGUGAACUAUGCUUGAAUAGGGUGAAGCCAGAGGAAACUCUGGUGGAGGCUCGCAGCGGUUCUGACGUGCAAAUCGAUCGUCAAAUUUGGGCAUAGGGGCGAAAGACUAAUCGAAC